UUUAUCGCAUAAGUGAAAUUCUUGUAUAAAUUUUAUCUCCAAAUUCAUGUUCGUAAUCUCUUAAAAACAAGACUCGUUCUUAGAUCCUCUCAUGUCCAUUUGAUUUCCAUCCGUUCCAUGCCCCGUCAUGACAAGUAAACAAGGAGAGUAGUGACUCCGCAAUUGAAGUGAUUCUAGAGGUUGCGAGAGUAAUCAUCUCUCUCGCCCUGCUGCAAUGCCGUUUAGCUCCAUCACCGAUAAGAGAACCAUUUAUGUUCCACUCAUUUUAUUCCCCAACUUUUCUCGGUCAACUCUAGCAGCAUCGCAUCGCGUCGCGCCACUACUCCGACAUUGCCCCGUGGUAUACACUCAAGCGCGGUCCGUUCUGCCACAACCAGUGAGAGGAGGUAGUAGUCGUCGAUGCUCACUGCUGUCAUAACCAAUGGAGACGUCCGGAUCCCGAUUUGAGUUUGAGAGAUUUGGGAAAGAAGAUGACGUGUUCCAUUUUGACGGAGAAGUGUUUGGGCUAGAUCCAUUCUUCGUGCACCCUCGUUUAGGCUGAAGCGUUUGGAUUUCUUUUGUUGGAUCUCUAGAGCGCUUGAAGACUCUUUCUUUUGUCGGUGUCUUGCGCCAGAGAUGGGUGCUUCUUUUGAAACUCUUGCUUCAAAAAAUCCAUUUAGGGUUUGCUAUGAUGCGGUGGUAGAGAUCCUCCUCACUACAAAACCCCUUCGACAGAGACCCCCACAUACGAAGUCCCCUUCCAAUGUCGUUGUGACUCUGCAAACAACUUAGGUUUAGUGCAAGACAGAAGAAGAAAGAAAAAAGAAAAAGAAAAGAAAAAACUAAUACACCAACCAGCUUCUAAAAUUGUAAACACGUAUAUUAUAUAUUGAUAAAAUACUAAUUAAGCUAUAUAUAUAUAUAUAUAUAUAUAUAUUGAUUUUCUCUAAAAAGAGAAAUUUUAUUUUAAAAAUUAAAAAAAAUAAUAAUUAUAUAAAUGCUUAAAUUUUUAUUAUUAAUAUAACUUUAAAAGAAAUUUUACACCAUAAAUAAUAGAGCUAUUUAUUGGAUAAAAAUAAAAUGAAUAAAACACAGAAAACAUAGAACUGAAUCAAAAUAGUAGAUUUCUAAAGUAUUAACACUAGAAAAAUAUGAAAGAUUAUUAAAAAUUAAAGAGAUAAAAAUUAUAAUAAAAAAGGGUAAAGUAUUAUAAAAUAUCCAUUCUUCCGAGAAUAAGAAGUUAUUCGUAUCACCUAAUUUUAUUUUCAAAAGUUUUAAAACCUAAAACUAAAAACUACCCGAGACGACAAGUUAGGCAAUUGGAUCAUCAUCGUUUAUCGUCUGGGAAUUGAGUUGACUGAAGGAGUUACAGGUACCUGAGCGCUAUGCAUAGAAAUUGUUCUUACGUAAUGUAUCUGAAAAUCCUGCUAUAUUGUUGCGUAGUAAUUCAGUGUCUGUGCUAUAGCAAAUGG
rnacentral:lncRNA from 1 species